GAUAUAGUGGUCCUUGCUGUUAAAAGCUAACCACGUCGUGGAAUCCACGCAAAACCUAGUUCUGUAUUUGUAUUUAUUGAAUAUCGGUUUUGUUUCAAUCAAAAUUAACAAACCAAGUGUUUUCCAGUAUACAAUGUUCAGCUGCGCACUCUGAUGACGUGACGUGAAUUUGCUUUGAGAAGGUAUCUCUGGCAAGCCUGAUGCUCCAAAGGAGAAGGUCAGACCUGUGAAAAAUGAACCUGAAUCUAAGGAAACUAAGGAAACCCCUGCCAGGAAAGAAAAAUCUGUUGAGAAGAAGCCUGCCAAAGAAGAGAAAGCAAAGGCAGAGCCUGUUAUAACAGACCCCUUCGCCACAGAAGAUGAGAUGCCCUACUUCCAGUGCUUUUUUGUGGAUGAAGAUGAGGCCCAGUAUCCCUUCUACCCUUUCUCACCUCUCCAGAUGUGAGAGCCCUGCCCAGUGAAGAGCACAGAGUCUAGAAAGAAAUGGGAUGAGAUGGGCGACACCUUUAGUGUGGAGUUAAUAAUAAAACAUUAAUAAAACCAAGCCAUGGAAUCCACUACUGCCAUGUUGCAGCCUAGCGUCCCGAGCUGGUCUUCAACAGAAACCUAGGACAGCAAAGCACUUUGAGUGAAUUCAUUGAGCUCUCAUGGAUAGCCAACAUCAUUCCUUUCCAAAUGUGUUCGUGUUAUAUUUUGUUUUUGAUAGCUGAUAUGGCAUGAGUUGAUCUAUAUCAGGAUAUCAGUAUUUUGAAUGAAUCAAUGCAUACUGUGUUUACAUCAGUUGCUGCAGGUGAGCCUUUUUUAGGGCCAUGUUAAUUUGCUUGAUUCAAUUCCCGCUUUGAUAGUUGUCAGUUUUCUCAAUUGAAUGGCACAUUUAAACAAACUGCAACACAGAUUGUACCGUUGGCUUUCAUACUUUUCAAAUUCUCAGCGCAGCUCAAGCAAUUAAUCUGUCUGUCGUCACAGUCAGUUGAAUGGGAGCUGCAUAUGGGAGCUGAGCAGUGUUGGUCUAGAAUUUGAGGGAAGAGCUCGGUUGGGCUGGACUACAAACUGCUGCUCUGUUGCUGUGGACUCUGAAUUACGCUUUAUUUACAUGAACAUGGGCUCUAUAUCAUUGCUAAGACAUCAGUGAGUCGUUCCAUCUCAAGAAGCACAAGAAAGAGGAUUUCGACACCCACCAUCUCAGAUUGUACUGAAAUUGUUUCUGUUAGGGAACAGAUAAGAUUAGCGUUCCUGCAACAAUAUUUUGCUGAAAUAUAAUUUGAUCUCUGGGAAAUUAAGCUAAUUGAUUCCACCCAAAUUGGCCAUUUUAUUCAAUUAAUAUAGACCCUAACCUCCAGGUUUGAUUUUUUUUAAAGAAUUCCUCCACCACUUCAUGUUAAAGGGACAGUUCACCUAAAUUAUGAAAUUACUUUUGCUUUCCUUACCUGUAAGCAGUCUUUGAAAAAAUUUAUUCAACAGUCCAUGAGUUGGUUUUGUUGUCCACUGAUUCAAAUGCAAACUUUUUAGCAUUUGUGACACAACUCCGAUGCAAGUCAAUGGUACCUGUAUUAGCAUUUUCAUGCUUCAUGUCCAAAUCAUUCUGAAGUAUCUAAAGCUGUAAUGUUACUAACAGAUGAUUUAGAUAUGAAGCUUGGAAAUGCUAAUAUAGGUACCAUUGACUUGCGUUGGAUUUGUGCCACAAAUGCUAAAAAGUUAGAAUUUCAAACACCGGCCAGAUAAACAAAACCGAAACAUGGGUUGCUGUCAUACCUUGUCCCUAAACUCUUUACAGGGUAAGGAAACCAAUAUGUAAUUUGGGUGAACAAUCCCUUUAACAAUGAGGGGGGAUUCUGAAAAAAAUAACUACAAGUAGGAACAGCACCAUCUAGUGGUCAGAACAUUGUAAUAUGAAGAUGUAGGAUGGGACAUUAACUAACUUAAAUUAUUAAUUUCUCUGAACAGGAAGAAAAAAACCACCAAAUUCACUGAGAAUACAUUACAUAGGAUGAAGAAACAAUACUCUGAGUCACAGCUCCAUACUAUUCGUCAGACAUAGAGAACUAAUACUGUAUACUCUUUAUUAGUGUGUGUGUGGUGUCUGUGGGUGGCUUUUGAUUCUUUCGAUUCCUCAUGUCUUACUCGUUGAUAGAAAAAAGUUUGGUCCAAAUCGGAUCUUAGGUAGUAUAAUUAUUGAAUAUUAUAUGAAUCAUAUAAUUUUCUUCUAUUCUUCUUCAUCAGUCUGCGUUUGUUAACUUUGAGGAAGCAUAAAGCUUUUCAUCAAAUUUGUAGGGACAUACUCACAUUAAAAGAAAUUCUGCUGGUGCCUCGAAGUCUGUGAAGUUGUUUCUGUAUUGUAUGUACUAUAUGUCUGGAAAGGAAUAACCAUAUCCUAUAUGUCCAUGAGAGCUCCCAGGUCCCAGAUUCUGAUCAACUAGAUAAAACACCCUCUGGCUGCACCACAGGUGACAAGUGGCAGAUUCAGUCAUGGUGUUCUGAAGUCUUAUCAACCAUCUAUACUUCUACAAAAUGCUCCUCGUUUUGAUAAGGGUGCUGAUUCUAAGCAUUCCAUUGUCUGAUCUUUCAGAAUGAGGUUGAAGAAUAAUUUUUAAUGGGUAACACGUCAGUUGGAAUGCACUUGUUGCAAUCAGGUGUCUUUGAAAUAUUUCAUUUUGUGUGAUAAUCCAUUUUGAACUCAUUUAAAGUUGGUGUUGUCCAUUUGUAUCAACAUAAGUUAGACAUAAUUUCUUGCACUGGAUUACACCAUCAAGGACCUUAAACUAACUGGAACAUGAGAGGAGAAUACAUAUAUUAAUGAUCAAAAUCAAUGUUUGUAUCUCGUAUCUAUUUAUUGAUAGACCAAAAGGAACAGCUGCAUAGCUCAUGAGUGUCACAGAGUAGUGUCCUUUUGGUAGGGUUUACACAACUGGCAAACUGGUUGAAAUAAGGUGUGGGAAAAAUAAACAAGUCCAGUUUACCAUUAUGUUAUGCGUAUAGUGACUUAUGAAUCACAUAUAAUCAAGUAAUAUAGUAAUAUAAACAAUAUAUUAUGAUAUUUAUAUAAUUAUAAUAUUAUCAACAAUAGUGGUAAUAAUAAUGCAUGUAUGACACUUGUAUUUAUUUUUGUGCUAUGUUAUGAACAGAUGUAUAACAUUUCAGAUUGAUUACUUUAUCAUCUCUGAAAGACAAGUUGGGAUAGCAGUCAACACAUAAACCUACUUCUACUUAAGUUAAAUUGCGUCUUGGCUAAUUUUAUGUUUUUAAUUAAAGUGACAACUUGAAUUUUGACAGUGAAGUACAUGUGUAGCCAAAUAUUGAUACUGUUCCAUCUUUUAGUUUUGGUACCUCUGCACAAAACAUGUAUUUGUUGCAGAAGAAUGUGAUACUUUGCUACAUGAAAUGCCUUUAAAUUCUCAUUUAGCCUGUACAAAAUGUUGAUAACACGUAUAUUUUUGUGGAGAGCAAAAGAUAAGACUGAUUGUGAAAUAGUGCAUUUAUGCUGAUUCCACUAAACAUGUUAAUGCUCCUAAUCUUUGUGUUAAAUGUUUUGACUGAACAGACUCCCAAAUGUAAUUUUUACUAGCAAAUACUACCUUAUUUGCUAUUCAAGGGCAUAUGAUUUUAUCUGUUCACUACCAAAGUAGUUAAUUAAUACAAUAUUUGCCACAAUACAUUUUGUAGCUAGCAUAGACUGCAAUGGUAGUGUUACUGGAGAAUACAAUUAGUAGAAUACAUAAUGGUGUCAUCUUGACAGUUAGGUUCUGUACUAUUAUUAGUAGUAACCAUUGUAAGCUUAUAACAUGUGCGGCCAUACAGAGACAGGAUGGUACUCUGAUGGCCCACCAACCUUUUUGAAGCAUUGUGCAUGAAGUAUUUUAAAUGUUCUCUGCUUUCAAGUGUUCAUUGUCUGGUGUUUAACAACAAUAUAUUGAUCUGCUGGAGCAUCAAUAUGACAGUGCCAGAUCUAUUUCAAUUGGAAUUAUGUGUAUGGCAUCAAUAAUUCAUUGUAAGUUGUAUUUGAGCUGACUGGUUCAGGAAUGUACAUUGUGUAAGGAAAUAAUAAGGCCACUGAUGCAAGGGAUAACGGGACAGAUUUGAUCAUAUCAAAUGCUGAAAAUGAUCUUAAACCUGAAUAGUUUGACGACAGAUUAACAAAUGUAUGUAUUGUCCUAUGCUUAACCUAACUAAUGCAACUUGUCAUACAUAUUGGAUUAGUAAACGUAACAGUUUAUGUGUGGUAUUCUUUCCUUUUCACCUUGUUCCUUGUGUGUUGAUGCCAGUAGUUAGCCUAGUGGUUAGAGCGUUGGGCCAGUAACCGGAAGGUCGUUCUGCCCCUGAGCAAAGGCGCCGAAGAUGUGGAUGUCGAUUUAGGCAGCCCCUCUCUGAUUCAGAGGGGUUGGGUUAAAUGCGAAAGACACAUUUCAGUUGAAUACAUUCAGUUGGACAACUGACUAGGUAUCCCUCUUUCCCUUUCCAGGUAGGCUAUUGAACCGUCCACAGUAUUUGACUUGUAAUACACACAUAUGAUCAGAUGAUGGCAUUAUAGAGUGGUCUAUUUUCUAACAUUUCAAAUAAACGUUUUUAUACUACACAUCUGUAUGCCUUUAAUAACAAAAUGAACCCAGAUCAUGAACUCUGGGAAAGACAAUUAGGUCAUUCAAUUAUUGAAUGUUGCUAUGUUCAGGGGUCAAGUGUGGUGGAAUAUUGAAAUGGUGUGAAAAAGAAUGAGAUGUUCAUCACUAUCAGUUAUAUUAAUAAUCUUGGAUGUAAUGUUGAUAGCAGUUCCCAUGCUUGUGAAAUGCCAGUGUCUUGAUUUUGUAAUAUGUCAGGUUUUACAACUCAUAAUAAAUUGUGUUGAUAUUGCCCAAGAUAUCUUUUUCAUUUCAA
rnacentral:lncRNA from 1 species